rnacentral:tRNA from 1 species
GCCCCGUUCGUUUAACAGUAAGACUUGCCGGCCUUUUUGAACCCGGCGGACGGAGGUGCAAAUCCUCCACGGGGCA